GACGAACGCUGGCGGCGUGCUUAACACAUGCAAGUCGAACGGUGAAGGGACUGGUUUUGCUGGUCCUGGAUGAGUGGCGAACGGGUGAGUAACACGUGAGUAACCUGCCCCCUUCUUCUGGAUAACCGCAUGAAAGUGUGGCUAAUACGGGAUAUUCUGGGUCUGUCGCAUGGUGGGCCUGGGAAAGAUUGCGCCUUUUUUGGUGUUUUUGGUGGGGGAUGGGCUCGCGGCCUAUCAGCUUGUUGGUGGGGUGAUGGCCUACCAAGGCGGUGACGGGUAGCCGGCCUGAGAGGGUGGACGGUCACACUGGGACUGAGACACGGCCCAGACUCCGACGGGAGGCAGCAGUGGGGAAUAUUGCACAAUGGGCGCAAGCCUGAUGCAGCGACGCCGCGUGAGGGAUGGAGGCCUUCGGGGUGUGAACCUCUUUCGCCAGUGAAGCAGGCCUGCCUCUUUGUGUGGGUGGGUUGACGGUAGCUGGAGAAGAAGCGCCGGCUAACUACGUG
rnacentral:rRNA from 1 species